ensembl:lncRNA
UUCUAUUUUGUGCACUUAUUCCAGUUUGUGCUGGGGUAUAACAAGUUAUGAUACGUUUUGGUGAACUAUCACAGGUUAUGCUAGGUUAUGCCAAAGUACCAGUACUUCUGGUCUGUCAGGCACUUUGCUAAUGUAUAUUAGCCUAUACCAGGAUUGGUAUAGGUUGUCCUACAUUGUUGUAUGUUACGCAAGAUUACGACAGAUUAUGACAGGUUAGGAAAGGUUUUAAGACAGUAUGCUGGGUUACGACAGAUUAUGACAGGUUAGGAAAAGUUUUAUGACAGUAUGCUGGGUUACGACAGAUUAUGACAGUUUAGGAAAGGCUUUAGGACAGUUUGCUGGGUUAUGACAUAUUUAGACAGGUUAGGAAAGGUUUUAAGACAGUAUGCUCGGUUACGACAGAUUAUGACAGGUUAGGACAGGUUAGGAAAGGCUUUAGGACAGUUUGCUGGGUUAUGACAUAUUUAGACAGGUUAGGACAGGUUUUAUGACGGUAUGCUGGGUUAUGACAGAUUAUGACAGGUUAGGACAGGUUUUAUGACAGCAUGCUAGGUUAUGACAUGUUACGCAAGGUUUUAGUAUGCCAAGUCAUAACAAGUUAGGCAGGGUUUAUGAUGUCAUUUUAUCCUCAGUUAUGACAGUUUAGGCAAGGUUCAAUGACAUAGUAUGUUGGUUAUGAAGCAUUAUGACAUGUUAGAUGAUGUUUAUGACAUUAUACAGUAUGCCAGGUUAUUCUAGAUUAGGCAAGAUUUAUGACACAGUAUGACUGUUUAGACAAGGUACAAUACAUAGAUUAUGAUAGAUCGAUAAUGAUUUAUGCCCGUUUCCUUCUAGUUUAUUUCAGUCAUGACACAUUAGCAUUCAGUUGCUAGUCCACACAGGAAUCUGCCACAACUGACUUAACCUUUUGCUUCCCGAAAUCACGAGUCCUGCUCUUUGAAUACAGAUCAGUACGUCAACUCGAAUCACAAAAUCAGAAUCAAAGAAUCAGACAAAAGCAACCCAUGGAACCCACUUGAACUCAACGCUAAGGUGUUUUCUAACAGCAAGACCGAGAUUUGAAUUCAGGAUGAACAAAAACUGCACCAUCACUCUCCUCUCACCCCGUGAUCAACAUUCGAAACAUGAAAAAGGAUCCGAGUCGCUCUAAUCUCCGUCCGCGCCAGAAAUAAAGCCGACAAAAAUGCAAACCGAGACUCGUUCUGCGAUCUAAAUUGAGCAUUAUAUAACCACAGAGCUAAACG